GAUGAACGCUAGCUACAGGCUUAACACAUGCAAGUCGAGGGGAAACGGCAUUGAGUGCUUGCACUCUUUGGACGUCGACCGGCGCACGGGUGAGUAACGCGUAUCCAACCUUCCCAUUACUGUGGGAUAACCUGCCGAAAGGCAGACUAAUACCGCAUAGUCUUCGAUGACGGCAUCAGAUUUGAAGUAAAGAUUUAUCGGUAAUGGAUGGGGAUGCGUCUGAUUAGCUUGUUGGCGGGGUAACGGCCCACCAAGGCUACGAUCAGUAGGAGUUCUGAGAGGAAGGUACCCCACUGGAACUGAGACACGGUCCAAACUCCUACGGGAGGCAGCAGUGAGGAAUAUUGGUCAAUGGACGGAAGUCUGAACCAGCCAAGUAGCGUGCAGGAUGACGGCCCUAUGGGUUGUAAACUGCUUGUGUAUGGGGAUAAAGUUAGGGACGUGUCCCUAUUUGCAGGUACCAUACGAAUAAGGACCGGCUAAUUCCGUG
rnacentral:rRNA from 1 species